rnacentral:rRNA from 1 species
UACUACCUAGUGACCGAUAGUGAACCAGUACCGUGAGGGAAAGGUGAAAAGCACCCCGGGAGGGGAGUGAAAUAGAACCUGAAACCGUGUGCCUACAACAAGUUAGAGCCCGUUAAUGGGUGAUAGCGUGCCUUUUGUAGAAUGAACCGGCGAGUUACGAUUGCAUGCGAGGUUAAGUUGAAGAGACGGAGCCGUAGCGAAAGCGAGUCUGAAUAGGGCGAUAGAGUAUGUAGUCGUAGACCCGAAACCAUGUGAUCUACCCAUGUCCAGGUUGAAGGUGCGGUAAAACGCACUGGAGGACCGAACCAGGACACGUUAAAAAGUGUUUGGAUGAGGUGUGGGUAGCGGAGAAAUUCCAAACGAACUUGGAGAUAGCUGGUUCUCUCCGAAAUAGCUUUAGGGCUAGCCUCGGAAGUAAGAAUGAUGGAGGUAGAGCACUGUUUGGACUAGGGGCCCAUCUCGGGUUACCGAAUUCAGAUAAACUCCGAAUGCCAUUCAUUUAUAUCCGGGAGUCAGACUGCGAGUGAUAAGAUCCGUAGUCGAAAGGGAAACAGCCCAGAUCACCAGUUAAGGUCCCCAAAUCUAUGCUAAGUGGAAAAGGAUGUGGAGUUGCGUAGACAACUAGGAUGUUGGCUUAGAAGCAGCCACCAUUUAAAGAGUGCGUAAUAGCUCACUAGUCGAGUGGCGCUGCGCCGAAAAUUUACCGGGGCUAAGCAUAGUACCGAAACUGUGGAUGUACGUAAGUACGUGGUAGGAGAGCGUUCUAAGUGCGGCGAAGGUUAACCGAGAGGAUAAUUGGAGCGCUUAGAAGUGAGAAUGCCGGUAUGAGUAGCGAAAGAUAGGUGAGAAUCCUAUCCGCCGAAAGACUAAGGUUUCCUGGGGCAGGCUCGUCCGCCCAGGGUAAGUCGGGACCUAAGGCAAGGCCGAGAGGCGUAGUCGAUGGAUAACAGGUAGAGAUUCCUGUACUGUGUUCAAUCGUUAAGAGCGAAGGAGGGACGCAGGAGGUGAAGCACGCAUCGCGAUGGAACGAUGUUCAAGCGACAAGUGCGGUUAAGAGUCAAAUGCUUCUAACCAGCAACACGAGUCGUGAUGAGGAGCGAAGUAAAAGUAGCGAAGGUGUGGUAGUCACACUGCCAAGAAAAGCUUCUAGCCAGAGAGAACAUACCCGUACCGCAAACCGACACAGGUAGUCGAGUGGAGAACACUCAGGUGAGCGAGAGAACUCUCGUUAAGGAACUCGGCAAAAUGACCCCGUAACUUCGGGAGAAGGGGUGCUGAUAGUAAAAUAUCAGCCGCAGUGAAUAGGCCCAAACAACUGUUUAUCAAAAACACAGGUAUCUGCAAAAUCGUAAGAUGACGUAUAGGUGCUGACACCUGCCCGGUGCUGGAAGGUUAAGAGGAGAGCUUAGCGUGAGCGAAG